rnacentral:rRNA from 1 species
AAAAGAGCGCAAGGGGAAUGCCUUGGCAUCAGGAGCCGACGAAGGACGUGACAAGCUGCGAUAAGCUACGGUGAGGAGCAAAUAUCCUGUGACCCGUAGAUUUCCGAAUGGGGCAACCCGGCUGGACAAUAUCCAGUCAUCCUGCAUUGAAUCAAAUAGGUGUAGGAAGGGAACCGCCUGAACUGAAACAUCUAAGUAGGGCGAGGAAAAGACAUCAACCGAGAUUCCGCAAGUAGUGGCGAGCGAACGCGGAAGAGGCCAAACCGGAGGAUUUAUUCUCCGGGGUUGCGGACAGCUAUACGGAACAAUAGUUUAGCCGAACGGUCUGGGAAGGCCGGUCACAGAGGGUGAGAACCCCGUAGGCGAAAGACGAAUUGUUUCAGGCUGGAUCCAGAGUACCGCAGGACACGUGAAACCCUGUGGGAAACAGGGGGGACCACCCUCCAAGCCUAAAUACUACCUGAUGACCGAUAGAGGAGCAGUACCGUGAGGGAAAGGUGAAAAGGACCCCGGGAGGGGAGUGAAAGAGAACCUGAAACCUUGUGCUUACAAGCAGUCAAAGCACGUUAAAGUGUGAUGACGUACUUUUUGUAGAACGGUCCGGCGAGUUAUAGUAACGAGCAAGCUUAAGGUAUUCAGUACCGGAGGCGAAGCGAGAGCGAGUCUGAAUAGGGCGCAUAAAGUUCGUUGCCAUAGACCCGAAACCGGGUGACCUAACCAUGAGCAGGCUGAAGUGAGAGUAAAAUCUCAUGGAGGGCCGAACGCACGUUCGUUGCAAUGACCGGCGAUGACUUGUGGUUAGCGGAGAAAUUCCAAUCGAACUCGGAGAUAGCUGGUUCUCCCCGAAAUAGCUUUAGGGCUAGCGUUAUGUUAGAUUACCGGAGGUAAAGCACUGAAUGGUGGCGGGGCCGAUAAGGUUACCAAGACCUAUCAAACUCUGAAUGCCGGAUAAUUGAUGCAUAGCAGUCAGACAGCGUGAGAUAAGUUUCGUUGUCAAAAGGGAAACAGCCCAGACCCACAGCUAAGGUCCCAAAUUCAUGCUAAGUGGAAAACGAUGUGGAAUUGCGAAAACAACCAGGAUGUUGGCUUAGAAGCAGCCACUCAUUAAAAGAGUGCGUAAUAGCUCACUGGUCGAGUGACUCUGCGCCGAAAAUUUAACGGGGCUAAAUUGUACACCGAAGCUUGGGAAGUUAGAUGUUAGACGGUAGAGAUUAGAAAGUAGAUGUUUGUAUGAGCGGAUAUAAAGAAUUGAAGGUAUAUAAAAGGUCAUAUAAAGCGGCGAAAGCAAUAUAUGAAAUGACCGUAGGAUUUCCAAAUGAGGAAAGGUACGGAAUAACCAAUCAAUUAAGACGUGCGGCAUUAAGCAUACCGUUAAAUAUAGCGGAAGGAUAUGCUAAGAGAGAAAGUCAGGAGGAAUUAAAAAGAUUUCUGAUGAUGGCGCUCGGUUCUUCAAAUGAAGUACUGGUGCUGAUAGACUUUUCAAAAGACGUAGGUUAUAUAUCCGACGAAAAACACAGUAAAGCGUUUGCAGAGUAUGAGGAAAUAGCAAGUAUGUUAAAUUCAUUCAUACAAAGUGUAAAGACAAAGGUCUAAAAUCUAAUAUCUAGCGUCUAACAUCUAACUUGGUAGGAGAGCGUUCUCUGCGGGGUGAAGCAUGAGCGGAAGCGCGUGUGGACUUCAGAGAAGUGAGAAUGCCGGAAUGAGUAGCGAGAAUUAUGUGAGAAUCAUAAUGGCCGAAAGCCUCAGGUUUUAGAAGGAAGGUUCGUCCGCUUCUAGUUAGCCGGGAGCUAAGGCGAGGCCGAAAGGCGUAGCCGAUGCACAUACGGUAGACAAUCCGUAGCUGCCAAAAGAUUUAAAUUAGGGGACACUCUGAAAGGGUACAUCCCGGGCGUUGGUUGACCCGGGCGUAAGGGAGCGAAAUUAGAGUAGCGAAGUCCGCGAUGUUCGGAGGCGAGAAAAGCUCUGAGGUAUGCUAAGGUGCCCGUACCGCAAACCGACACAGGUAGAUGAGGAGAGAAUCCUAAGGCCAACGGGAGAAGGGUUGUUAAGGAACUCGGCAAAUUGACCCCGUAACUUCGGAAGAAGGGGAGCCUCGAAAGAGGCCGCAGUGAAUAGGCCCAAGCAACUGUUUACCAAAAACACAGGUCUAUGCUAAAUCGAAAGAUGACGUAUAUGGGCUGACGCCUGCCCGGUGCCGGAAGGUUAAGAGGAGAGCUUAGCGCAAGCGAAGGUUUGAAUUGAAGCCCCGGUAAACGGCGGCCGUAACUAUAACGGUCCUAAGGUAGCGAAAUUCCUUGUCAGGUAAGUUCUGACCCGCACGAAAGGCGUAAUGAUUUGGGCACUGUCUCAACAGCCCGCCCGGCGAAAUUGUAGUACCGGUGAAGAUGCCGGUUACCCGCAACUAGACGGAAAGACCCCAUGGAGCUUUACUGCAGCUUAAUACUGAGAUUCGGUAAAUCAUGUACAGGAUAGGUGGGAGACUUUGAAGUCUGGCCGUCAGGUCAGGUGGAGUCGAUGUUGGGAUACCACCCUUGGUUUGCUGGAUUUCUAACCUGCGGCCCUGAAUCGGGUCGGGGGACACUGUUAGGCGGGCAGUUUGACUGGGGCGGUCGCCUCCUAAAAUGUAACGGAGGCGCUCAAAGGUUGGCUCAGCAUGGAUGGAAACCAUGCAAUGAGUGUAAACGUAUAAGCCAGCCUGACUGCGAGACCGACGGGUCGAGCAGAGACGAAAGUCGGAGUUAGUGAUCCGGUGGUAUGUGAGUGGAAAUGCCAUCGCUCAACGGAUAAAAGUUACCCUGGGGAUAACAGGCUGAUCUCCCCCAAGAGUCCACAUCGACGGGGAGGUUUGGCACCUCGAUGUCGGCUCAUCGCAUCCUGGGGCUGUAUUCGGUCCCAAGGGUUUGGCUGUUCGCCAAUUAAAGCGGCACGCGAGCUGGGUUCAGAACGUCGUGAGACAGUUCGGUCCCUAUCUGUUGCGGGCGUAAGAGAUUUGAAGGGAGCUGUCCUUAGUACGAGAGGACCGGGAUGGACAGACCUCUGGUGCACCAGUUGUCGUGCCAACGGCACAGCUGGGUAGCUACGUCUGGACGAGAUAAACGCUGAAAGCAUCUAAGCGUGAAACUCCCCCAAAGAUAAGAUCUCCCCCCUUUAUGGGGUAAGGGUCGAUGUAGACUACAUCGUUGAUAGGCCGAAGGUGUAAGCACGGUAACGUGUUCAGCUGAUCGGUACUAAUCACCCGAGGGCUUGACUU